UACGUAGGGUGCGAGCGUUGUCCGGAAUUAUUGGGCGUAAAGAGCUUGUAGGCGGUCUGUCGCGUCUGCUGUGAAAAUCCGGGGCUCAACCCCGGACUUGCAGUGGGUACGGGCAGACUAGAGUGUGGUAGGGGGAGACUGGAAUUCCUGGUGUAGCGGUGAAAUGCGCAGAUAUCAGGAGGAACACCGAUGGCGAAGGCAGGUCUCUGGGCAGUGAAC
rnacentral:rRNA from 1 species